GUCGCCGCUGCACGGAAUACCACCAUGAGCACGGCCUCCUCAGCUGCUCCGACUCUCCGUAGUACUGCUCCUCCAGCUACCGGCCCUUCCCCUUCUAUUUUGAAUUUUCUAGAACAAUGGGUAAGCAGCUACCAACUAUGAAUGGAAUAAGUCUAAAAAGAAGCUUGGGUAUGCUGAUAUGUGCCUUCAGGUUAUAAGAUAAGGGAGCAAGUGAAACAACCCAGAAGCUUAUGAUAUUGUUACUGUGGAGAUACCCGGAAGCUUGCAUAUCCAGAAUCGAUCUUCACUUCAGCUACAAGUGAGAGGUAUUGCUGCCGAGCGUGACACCGCGCCGAUCUAUUUGAGCCCAACUGCAUCAAUUUUAGACGGAAGAUAAUGAUGCAAGGAGACCACCUGAGCACCUCCACUCCCUCAACACUGUCCCCCUACUGCCUGAGGUACAACACGACCAUAUUACUCACUUCGUUCGCUGCAGCGACCACAAAGUGGUUGGGCGGUGAGGGCGCUUCUCUUUCUGACCUAUUGACGAUGAUGAUGGUUCUCUACUUAUAAAAUUUUUUCAUUUCAGUUUACUGAAUAUUUUUUCUUGCUUCAACUAUAUCAAGGGAGCAAGUGCAACAACCCAGAAGCUU